AGAUUCCAAAGACUUAUUGGGAACCUGUCAAAAGAGCUCCUGAGGGCUGGAAGAAAGGAGGACUGCUUCCAGAUUUGUGAAUCACCCCAAAAAGGUAACUUUGGUACCCAACUCCUCUCAUCUGGGGCGUAUCUCCAUCUCAUCCCUCCAGUCGUGCCUCCCAACUACACAUCCCUCUUUUUCCUUUUGGAUCUUAUCUGUUAGCUUUUUAAAAAUCAAACUCUAAGAUAAUCAAAUUAUUCUGACAUGUAACUAUAUAACUACUAAAUCUUUAUUUUCCAUUUAAUUCCUUUUCAUUUCUUCAGCAAUAUGAAAUGGCAUAAUUGACAGAAGAAACCUGAAAUCUUGGUAAUUUUAAAAAUCAGAAUUCAUUUUACAGACUAAGUCCCCAUGUUGUAAGAGACUUCAUGUAGUUAUGGCCUAAUAUCUGUUGCCACACAGACUUAACUAAACAAUCUUUGUGCUUCUGUCUUGCUUUUUAAUUGGAAGAGGAACCUGGAAAUCAUUGCCAAAUAGGCUGCAUGAGUCACAACAGGUGACUGUAUUUUCCUCUCUGGUGCGAGGCCGUGCAAGAUAAAUUUAGUUUCUAUUAUUUUGUUGUUUCUCAGGAAGAGCAGGACUUGCAAAAUAAGUUAGGAUUACUGAUCUGAUUCACCUCAGUUUUCGUUUCCCUC
rnacentral:lncRNA from 1 species